GAUGAACGCUGGCGGCGUGCCUAAUACAUGCAAGUCGAGCGAACAGACGAGGAGCUUGCUCCUCUGACGUUAGCGGCGGACGGGUGAGUAACACGUGGAUAACCUACCUAUAAGACUGGGAUAACUUCGGGAAACCGGAGCUAAUACCGGAUAAUAUAUUGAACCGCAUGGUUCAAUAGUGAAAGACGGUUUUGCUGCCACUUAUAGAUGGAUCCGCGCCGCAUUAGCUAGUUGGUAAGGUAACGGCUUACCAAGGCAACGAUGCGUAGCCGACCUGAGAGGGUGAUCGGCCACACUGGAACUGAGACACGGUCCAGACUCCUACGGGAGGCAGCAGUAGGGAAUCUUCCGCAAUGGGCGAAAGCCUGACGGAGCAACGCCGCGUGAGUGAUGAAGGUCUUCGGAUCGUAAAACUCUGUUAUUAGGGAAGAACAAAUGUGGAAGUAACUAUGCACGUCUUGACGGUACCUAAUCAGAAAGCCACGGCUAACUACGUG
rnacentral:rRNA from 1 species